GUUGACCGCCUGGGGAGUACGGCCGCAAGGUUAAAACUCAAAGGAAUUGACGGGGACCCGCACAAGCGGUGGAUGAUGUGGAUUAAUUCGAUGCAACGCGAAAAACCUUACCUACGCUUGACAUGUCAGGAAUCCCGAAGAGAUUUGGGAGUGCCCGAAAGGGAACCUGAACACAGGUGCUGCAUGGCUGUCGUCAGCUCGUGUCGUGAGAUGUUGGGUUAAGUCCCGCAACGAGCGCAACCCUUAUCAUUAGUUGCUACGCAAGGGCACUCUAAUGAGACUGCCGGUGACAAACCGGAGGAAGGUGGGGAUGACGUCAAGUCCUCAUGGCCCUUAUGUGUAGGGCUUCACACGUCAUACAAUGGUCGGUACAGAGGGUCGCCAACCCGCGAGGGGGAGCCAAUCCCAGAAAGCCGAUCGUAGUCCGGAUUGCAGUCUGCAACUCGACUGCAUGAAGUCGGAAUCGCUAGUAAUCGCGGAUCAGCAUGUCGCGGUGAAUACGUUCCCGGGUCUUGUACACACCGCCCGUCACACCAUGGGAGUGGGUUUUACCGGACGUAGUUAGCCUAACCGCAAGGAGGGCGAU
rnacentral:rRNA from 1 species